CCUCGAGAAGUUUUAUUUUAUCUUUCAUAACAGCAACUUCUUUAGCUCCUACUGUACUUCCUUUGUUGUUGUUUCUUUGCGCGGUUUUGGUUAAGUUGUUAAACGCGAUUCUGCUUUCCUUGAGCUUCUUCUCAAGGUUAGCUAUUGCUUCUUCUUUCUUCUUCAUCUCACCUUUCACUUGUGUUACUUGCUUCUUGUGCUUCUCCAUCUCCGAAUCAUUCUCUGAGAAUAAAUGAUUUAGGUCAUCAAACUUGGCUCUCACGGUUUCUAGUUCUGUCUGUAAGUGUGUAAUUGCUGCUUUUUUUUCUGAAUUUUUCAUGAAUUUUUUUUUGAAUUUUUCUGUCACUUUUCUCUCUUCUCUCUCUGAUUUUUCUGUGUUUCCCACUGGUUUCUGCACGACCAAACUGGUGGAGAAAGAGUUAAAUACGUCAGGAAGUUCCUUCAGGUGAGGGUUUCACAAAACACAAGGCAUGGCUGGGAGGAGACAAGUGGUGACCUGUUUCAUUACUUCCAGCAGCAAGCAGCUGCCCUUUCCCUCCCAUGAAGAAAAUUCAAGCAGGUGUGUCUUGCACAUGACUGAUCAUUCAACAAGAAGGCAGGCAAGAAGGUGCAUGGUACAUGGUACAUGACUGGUACAGCCAGCAAGCAAGCACACAAGCUGGUGCAACUCACAUGACUGAUUUAAAUUAACAAGCAGCUCAAACUAUUCCUAGUCAGUUCUCGACCAAACUUUUUCUCGUCCAUCGAAUCUUGUCUUGAUUUUAUAUAAAAUCUUCCAGCUUGAAUAAAACUUGACCACAAUAAUUAAAACUCAACCAGAACUAUCAAGAGUAGGUAUUUUGGCCACAAGACAUUCCCGUCGAGAAUAAUUCACCGGGUCGAUUUUUAUUUUUAAUUUUGGUUACUCCAAAUUGGUUGAGUGGAAUUUUUCUCGACCAAAAUUCUAUCUGCUUGUGAGGAUUAUUACAAAGAGUCUUGCAGGGAAGCUACAAUACCUCACUUUGACGCGGCCUAACAUUAAAUUCGCCGUCAACUAUGUCUGUCAGAAGAUGCAUGCUCCAACAGUAUCCGACUUCACUCUCCUGAAAAGAAUUCUCAGAUAUGUUAAGGCACACUAACGAGGGGAAUUUCACUUCAUAAAGACACUGAUUUCGCCCGCAAUGCCUACAGUAACAGUGAUUGGGCAGGCUGCAACACCACUCGCAGAUCUACUGGUGGGUUCAGCACGUUUCUAGGUAAAACCCUUAUCUUUUGGUCUUCCCGCAAGAAACCUACGGUGUCUAAGAGCUCAACUGAAUCAGAGUAUCGAACUUUACCUGGUUGUGCUCGAUCUUUCGUGAGUUGGGAAUUCUGCUUCUUACAACUCCAUUGCUGCUGUGUGACAAUUUAUCGGCGGUCUUGUUAUCUGUGAAUCCUUCAUUUCACUCUCGCACCAAGCACUUUGCUCUCGAUUAUCACUAUGUUAGAGAGAGAGAUGCUUGGGAGCCUUGGAAGUGAGACACAUCCCUAAUCAUCAGCAGAGUGCCGACAUAUUCACCAAAUCUCUUCCGUUUGAAGCUUUCUCGACUCUUCGUGACAAACUCGGCGUCGACUCAAUCGACACACCUAGUUUGAGGGGGCCUAUCAGCCAAUCUGCUCCAAGCCCAUCAAAUAAUUCUCAACUCAAGCCCAACUUGAACCCCACAAGUCAGACAUCGCCAAAAGCUUCUCAACAGUCGUCUUCACCAGGCUACAAACAAGAAAAAAUCGUUAGUACACAGGCAGCACAGCUAAAGCAAAUGCAAAAGCACAUCACAGCUGGCGAAGCACAGCCUGUCUCUAACAGAAAUCGAUUUGCAGCAUUCCAAGACAAUGAAGACCAAUGUUGAAAGCCCUAGCUAUUUCUAUCUAUAAAUACAUUGUUAAGUUGUAAUAAAAAACUAAGAAAGCAAUAACAAAGAGCAAAAGACUCACUUUUCUUGCAAAACUCUGUCUACUUUAUGAUACCAUGAUAACAUUUAUGAAACUAGAAAGAUAGAGCUGAUAAGAGCUAUUAUUGAAAGAUAGAAAUAGCUUGUAAAAGCUUUAUUAUAUGCAAGUAAAGAGAAUGAAAGCUUUAGAGUUGUCUUCAAGAACACAAAGAUUCUAUUGAUAUCAUAAGAGUUUAGAGAAAGAGGCUACUUUAAGUGGCAGCCAAAGUUGCAUUCAUCAAAGCACAUAACAACAUAUAAAUGAAUCUAGAAACCCUAGUUACAUGGGUUACAAAAGUCUCUAAUAGAUCAUAAACUUGGGCUUUAGGUUGGGGUUCAAUACUCUCCUGCAAACUUGGCGUCGGGUGCAAGCAAGAAGCCAAGUUUGAAGAUGCAAAUGAGUGAAGCUUUGGCAGGAUCAGGAGCAAGUAAUCUGAGAUCAUUAGCAAGUAGGUUGAUGACUCUAUCUAGCUUGGAGAAUAGACAUAAAUAUGAGAACAUUUUCAGGUUCUUUUGACCUAUUUGUCUCACAACAAGUUGGGGAUUUUUUUUUCUUCUUAUCCUUGUAACUGGACUAAGCUAUCUCACAGCCAAAGAGAAUAUCAAUCCUACAACAGCCUAAACCCAACUCUCUAUUCCUAUUCAUCUGCCACCAAAACUCCUCAUUUUCACAAUCUGUUUUUCUCUUGGACAUUUAACCAAACAUCUUGUGUGCACUCAUCAAAAACAAAACUUGUUGCCAUUUAUCUCAUCAUUAUCAAACCCAUAACUAGCCUAUUCAUUCUCCUUCCAGAUUCCAAGCCUAUAUCACUAACUCAUUCAUAACAUACCAGAAGAUAUGCGCUGAUGAAGAGACAUGAAGGAGCUUCCCUUGCUUUUGUUCCCACAAGCUUCUUCUCGUUUCCGUUUCCAUAUUUUUCUUUUUUUUUACAGAUGGGCUUUUAUCUGGAAGACCCAAUAACAUGUCGAUUUGCUGGAGCCCAACUUUCUCUUCUUCUUCGAUUGGACUAUCUUCUUCUGGUUUUUUUUAUCAAGUAACCCUGGUGGAAAGAGUAGAGCUUGGACCUUAAAUUUCACUGUCAUAUCAACACAGAUCUGCAUCACCAUUGCAGAAAGUCUCUUCCUUUUCUUUGGAUUUCGUGCAUGAACCGACAGAUUGUCUUGGGAUGGUUUAGAUAGAGUGUGCAGAAGCUAAAAGAGAAUAGGGUAACCCAUAAAAAUCGACUGAAGCUCUGAUACCAUGAAAAUAGACAGAAUUUUGCAAGAAAGAUGAGUCUUUUGCUCUUUGUUAUUGAUUUCUUAGUUUCUUAUUACAACUUAACAAUGUAUUUAUACAUAGUAACAGCUAGGGCUUUCAACAUUGGUCUUCAUUGUCUUGGAGUGCUGCAAACCGAUUUCUGUUAGAGACAGGCCGUGCUUGGCCAGCCGUGAUGUGCUUUUGCUUUAGCUGUGCUGCCCGUGUACUAACGAUUUUGUCUUCUUUGUAGCCUGGUGAAGACGACCGUUGAGAAGCUUUUGGCCUGUCUGAUUUUUGGGCUUCAAGUUGGGCUUGAGUUGAGAAUUAUCCGAUGGGUUUGGAGCAGAUUGGCUGAUACGGUUGAAAUCCUUUGGCAACCGUUCGGUCAACUAAAGUCUCAUCAUCUUAGCAAGCGUACCUAAAGCCAGAUGGAGUUGAGAGGAGCUGCAGAAACAGUUUAGUGAACUCGAUAAUGGAAGGGAGAGGACGAGACUUCACCAUCUCACUGAACAAACCAACCGCAUCUUCUAACUUAAUAUCAGUAAGCCCAUUUCUCAAUUUCUCUCUGUAAUCAUCACUGAGAGCAGAGAAAUCUCGUUUCGUGCAACGAAAGUUAAAGGAUAGAGGAGCACUUCUAGGAUAAUGGAAGAAUCUCUUCGGCUUCGUCAAUCGCAAUUGCUCUCCUCAUCUUAUGAAUUUUGGCUUCGGCAAACCCUAAACAAACUUAGCAGGCGAGCGAGCGAGCGAGCGAGCAAGGGGGAGAGGGAAAGAGAAGGGAAGACGACGACAAUACGACGUCGUUGAAUACGAACCGGUUUAUUUCAAAAACAAAUUAACUAACCAGGAACCGGUCCGAGUAUUCCGAUCCAGAAUUGGGAACACUUUUGAGCGUUGGGAUACAACAGCGUUUGUAUCGUACAAGUAAUCAAAACGACUAGAGAGCUGAAACUUAUGCAAAUUACUUAGAAAACAUAAACAAAGUGUAAUUACAUAAACAAGAAACAAAGUGAUUACAUAUACUUCCUUUUUUUUUUAUAAACCUGAAAACCGGUUCUGAUAUAUACCGGUUUAGCUCCUCUUGGCGUUUUUGAGAUUACGUACUGUCAUAACAAGCUGUUGUCUCUCGCCUUCCACUUCUGCAAAUCUCAGACUUAGCUCUGAGUAUCUCUCUUGCAUCUCCUUCAGCUCCAUCUCCAUCGUUUCAUUACAUUCUCUCAAUAACGCCAUCUCCGCUUCCAGAACUCGGACUUCUUCCUUUUCAUGGUUAUCUUUAUUAAUAACCUCUAGGCUGUUCUGGUCGAGACUAGUUUCCAGCUCCUCGAUUCUGUUCUUCAGAUUCUUCUCCUUUUCGAUGAACAUGUUUGAUGAAGCUUCAAGAGCAGUCUCCUUCAGUUUUAUUUGCCCCUAGAUCAUACAACAACAUCAAUAGUUCAAGAGUGUAUCAUUAGACUUGAAGAUAUUAAUUAUGAAUAUUUACCUCGAGAAGUUUUAUUUUAUCUUUCAUAACAGCAACUUCUUUAGCUCCUACUGUACUUCCUUUGUUGUUGUUUCUUUGCGCGGUUUUGGUUAAGUUGUUAAACGCGAUUCUGCUUUCCUUGAGCUUCUUCUCAAGGUUAGCUAUUGCUUCUUCUUUCUUCUUCAUCUCACCUUUCACUUGUGUUACUUGCUUCUUGUGCUUCUCCAUCUCCGAAUCAUUCUCUGAGAAUAAAUGAUUUAGGUCAUCAAACUUGGCUCUCACGGUUUCUAGUUCUGUCUGUAAGUGUGUAAUUGCUGCUUCUUUUUCAUCCUUGAUACGCUUCACCGCUUGCAACUCCUCUGCUAGAGACUCUGAUUCCUCCCUCAUUGACUCAAUCCUGCUCUCU
rnacentral:lncRNA from 1 species